CAAACACGUGACCUUAAAACAGAUUAAGUCCAUCCAACCCUAAACCCACCGCUCGCCACAAAUCCUAGUCCUAGCCGCCGGCGCCGGCGCCGCAGCUCCUCCCCUCGCCGGUGCCUCGUCUCCCACACCUCGGGCGUGUCCCUCCUCCCAUCCGCCACCCCCUCUCUCCGCCACCAGUGCGCCAGAGCAGAGCGAAAGCCGCCGCCAUCUCCCUUCCCGGAGCACCCACAUCAAGGGAGGCGCCCCGGCCCGCCUCCUCCCCGGAGCGAUCCACAUCGAUCGACCCUGUGGCCGGCAGAGUCCGCUGGCCUGCGAGCUCCACGCGUGUCGGUGGCCUGCGGGUACGACCGGGGCGGCGUCUUUCCGCGACAGCGGACGACAGGAGUGGCGCUGGAGCUCGCGGCGGCGCAGGAAUGGAGGCGCGGUGGAUCUGCUGUCGCCCACGACUCCGUCAUCCUCAUGCCGGUCACCUCCCCUGACCUGCUGCAGCCCCGUGUUCGUCAACUAUCUACAACAUGGCAUGAUGCAUAUUUCUGCCAAUUCCUUCUAUUAUUAAGUACGGCUGGUACCAUUUCAAUGUGUUUCGAUAUUUACGAAAUGGAGAGGGCUUCUGAGGUGGAACGAAGCCCCAUCGAAUGGGGGUUUCAAAGUCUCUCCUUGCCUGGAAGCAACUGCUGCAUCGGGACAUUGUUGGCUGGCUGCAGACCAUGGCGGCCAUGAUGGCGACGGCAGGGCGCCCUAGCAGCAGCAGUGGCAGAGGCUGAAGCUGGUGCUGGAGAUGCAGGACCUCCUCCAUGUCCUCGAUAUGCCCCAGUCAAGCUCACCUGCGAUGCUAAGGCCUCUCGUAUUCUAGAGAAGAAACUAUGAGUGCUUUACUAAUGAACAUAGUCUGGAACUUCUAAAAUUAAAGAAGCAGCCGCAGAGUUGCUACAGAUAAAAGAACAAUGGCGCACAAAUUUGGUAAUUUAUUGGACGCAUGUUCAAAGGUGCACGGGCGAGCUGAUGUGAAGAGGCGGAGAGGUUGGGCGGCAGCAGUUGCAUGGAUUGACGGCUGGUGUUGACCAUGUGCAGUGGUGCUCUCUUGCCGGUGACGACGACCAGCAACGUCACCACAUCGUGCACCCUCCUGCUCCGGCCUAUCUGCAAGACAACGGAAGGCUGUCGUUAUUGGUUGUAUGAGUUCAUCGACGCACUUCUGCCAUUUGGAGCCAGAUGAGUGGAUGGGUCAGAAAGAUAGGUGGGCAAGUUCUCGGAGCAGUACACCUGCUGGUCCAGCAUCACCUUCUCCUGCUCCGUCACCUCCGUCAUCAUCAAGGUUCUGAAGAAUGAUGCUGAGGUGAAGUUGCAGAGGAAUGCUUCAUGUGUCUUGCAAGCUCCAACUGGCAACGAAGUUGCAUAACAAUGUAGCUGAGAAUAUUUGUACCUGCCCAGUGGAGCUUGAGCUGGUGCUACCGGCAUCCACUAUGACAUGCUGCCCAUGCCUUCAUUGACUAGGACGUCUCCUACAACACUGCGUCCCCCAUCGGCGUGCCACAGAAGGUUGCACUAUAUCAAGGUUCUUCAGGAGAAGGACCUGGAUGUUCAUGCUGAGACAUACAACAUAACCUGAAGGUCACCUUCCGUGGAGAAGAUGAUGAAGCGCGUAACUGUAAUUCGCCAUCUAGUAGAAGAAACACCUGAAGUUCAAAAGAAAGGGCAAUGGUCUCUUCUAUGAGCACACCUUGUCUCUCACUAAAGCUCUUUGUGUAUUUCCACUUGAGUCCGCUGUUCUCAUUAAGUUAAAGUGUUACACCCUGGUGGCCCAUCUGUGGACGAUGGUCGCCGUGCUGACUGGCUUUGUCUUCAAGAAAGCGCCUGUAUGGUGGUGCUCCAAAGGGCUCUCAGCUUAGAGAACUUGAGCGUAGAUCACAUAUUGUGGUUGUUGCACCUGGACGACUUGAUGAUAUUCUGGAGAUGAUGAAGCUGAAUGCAUGCUUGCCAUUGGUUUUAAGCCAAAAACACGGAAGAUUGUGGACGAGAUUCCUCAUAGCAGACAGACUCUGAUGUACAUUGCCAUUUGGCCAAAAGAGAUUACAAAAUAUUUGGUGAUUUAUCAAGAGAUCAUAUCCAGAUAAAUAUUGGAAACAUCGAUGAACUUGCUGCCAACAAUCCAUCACACAGUAUGUAGAGAUAGUUCCAUCAAUGGAUAAGCAACGCCCUUUGGAGCAGAUUUUAGAGCUGAAGAAAGGGGCAAAGAUCAUCAUAUUUUGCUCAACAGAGAAAAUGUGCGACCAGCCUUCUCGUGGCAUUUUCGUUAUCUUGGUUCUGCAAGCUUUCACGGUGAUAAAUCACAGGGCCGUGGUACUGUUGUGACUGGAUGUGUCGAACACGGGACAACUAAAACUGUUGAUCAUGUUAAGAUCUUUGAUUUAUCGGAGGGGUUCCAGCUUGGUGCCUUUGAAUUUUUGUAAUGCCACUAUGAAGCAGCUUCAAACAUUAGCUGAGGAGCAUCCUCGUGUCAGUUAUGGCACAGCAUAAUACAUCUUAGACAUGACGAUGCAAGGCAGUGAAUAGCUCCCAGUGCUUUUGGUUUAUUCUUUGCCCUUAUCUACCUGCCAUGUCAAAUUUGUGCAAUACUUAAUGCUCUGUGUCAUGAUGUCUAUGUUGCAUCAUUAGACAAUCUUCACCGCUAUUUUGGUUACUGAUGAACAAAUCUUUGCAAGCACAGUAGCGAGCAUGCCUGUACUUUGUUGAGACCUUCCCAUGCUCUCAUACUUCCAUUUUUGGUGGACUCUCAGAUUAGGAAGUCGAACAAGGACUACACCACCGGUGGUUGUCGCCCAGCUGCACAGUGUGGGUCUACCCGAGCUCCUGCUGGUGGUUGCAUGCCUGGGCUGCUGCUGCUGGCGUCCACCUGGAGCUGGCCAUAUCCGCUGGUCAGCCCGCAACUUGGACUACUUCCGCCUCGCUACCGUGCGAUGACGGCAAGUUCACCGCCGUGCAACCGUUGAAGCGGUUGCUUCUUCGUCGACGCCAUGGUUUACACGAGUUUCUGGUUUGCAUGGUUGAUGGCAUCAUCGGUUUGCUCUCAAGAUACCCACCCACAUUAGCUAUUGGAAGAUAUGUUGUCCUCUGUGGAAGCUUUGCAAGCUAUUGUGGUGGCAUAAGUGACCCUCCCAAACCCAAAGAGCAUGUGUGAGAGCUUCUUCCCAUGCUCUGACACUUCCAUUUUGGGACGAGAAUGAUGCUGCUCCUGAUGUGUAUAUGCAUGCUUGUGCUGCUGCUGGGCUGGCUAUGGCCGCCUGCGCCUCAUGCGAGGUUGUUGGCUUGGCUGGGCCCCGGCUUUGACUACCUCCUCGGAGAGUUCACCAUGGCGUAACCGGAACGCUCGUACUCGGCUACAACAUCUCCAGUGAGUUACUGAUGGGUGACUGCAGGGUCGACCAGGGCCUCCUGUAGUGCAGUCGUAGGCCAUGGUUAGCCCUCUCGGCCUCCUUUUCUUCCUUUGGUUGGUGCCAUGGCACCCGUGCUGGCCAUGCCGCAACUGUGGUGGCGCUGGAUUCACCUCCUUCCUGGUGAGUUCUACGUGCCUCCUCUCUCAUAUUAGUUCAUGAUAUUGUACAUAUUGCAAGCAUUAUAAGACUCUACAAUGUCUUCCUUGUUGUUCAAACCCUUACUAGAAAAUAUCUAGACCUUAGAGAGACCAAUCAUGCAAACCAAAUUUUAACAAGCUCUAUGUAGUUUUUCAUUAAUAGGUGCAAAGUAUAUGAUGCAAGAGCUUAAACAUGAUCUAUAUGAGCACAACAAUUGCCAAGUAUCAAAUUAUUCAAGACAUUAUACCAAUUACCACAUGUAGAAUUUCUGUUUCCAACCAUAUAACAAUUAACGAAGCAGUUUCAACCUUCGCCAUGAACAUUAAGAAUAAAGCUAAGAACAUAUAUGUUCAUAUGCAACAGCGGAGUGAUACGUCUCCGACGUAUCGAUAAUUUCUUAUGUUCCAUGCCACAUUAUUGAUGUUAUCUACAUGUUUUAUGCACACUUUAUGUCAUAUUCGUGCA